GAAAUGCGAUACGUAGUGUGAAUUGCAGAAUUCAGUGAACCAUCGAAUCUUUGAACGCACCUUGCGGCCGCCGGUAAUCCGGCGGCCAUGCCCGUCCGAGCGUCGUUUCGACCCUCGGGGCCCUCCCUCUCGCAGGGCAGCGGCCCCGGCCUUGGGCCAGCGCGUGCCGCUCUCGAGCGCCGCGCGGCCCGCAGAACAGCGGCGGCAGCACCGGCGACGUCCCCUGCGCAGUAGCAUACACUCGCAUUGGUCUCCCGGCGCGGCCCGCCUCGAACCCCCAAACUUCUUUAGGUCGACCUCGGAUCGGGUAGGGAUACCCGCUAAACUUAA
rnacentral:misc_RNA from 1 species